rnacentral:sRNA from 1 species
AUCAAACCAUGAUUCCUUGGAGAAAAGGGGGGGGGUUUAAAAUCACUACUUAUGCAAAGGAAUAGAGAAAUAUCUCCUUGCAAAUACUUAAACAACAAAAGGGGCUUGAUAUUUACCAUGUGGAUCAAACUUUUCAUGCAAGAUCUACCAUACUUAUAUAUAUUUGUCAGCAUAUUUUGAAUUUGAUGCUGCAAUGCUGAUUUGAUCAGCUUUUGUUGCGGAGGUGAGCUAUGUGGCCUGUGACUCUGGUUAUUGUUUUUUUCUUUGGACAAAUUCAGUCAAUCUGAUUAAAUUCAAAUUUUGAUUUUUUUAAGUUUUUAUGAAGUUUAUUCAUACCUUAAUGUGGCAAAAUUUAAAAAAAAACUGAGAUAAAAAAGCUGCAUGAUUUGUUGGGGAUUAUUUUGUUUCAUUGUUUUGUUUUUAUUUUUUUCUUAUUUAAGUAUAUUUUUUGUGCAUCUUGAAAGGAGGCAAUUUUUUUUAUGUUUGGAUAUUUAAUUAAAAUGCUUGUAAAACCAUUAUCCUACUGAAGAAAUGUUGUUGUUUAAAAACACUAUCAAGACAUAAUAACAAGAUUCAUUUGGUCAUAUUUUGACAGGAUUUAUUCUUCUAAACCCUUUAUUAAAAAUUUAUUUUCAACAAAAAACCACUCAUCAAUGAAAUUGUUCAAUAGAAAAUAGUUUUUCAAAACAUUAUUUUGUUAACCAAAUCAAUCUCCGUUAUAUUAUAGAUUGUGUUGUUUCCAAAUUCAUGUCUUGUCAAGAAGCUUUUUCUGUGCUUCAAAGAAAUAAAGGUUUUUCAU